AGCGAUUGAUCCAACUCAGUGACC
rnacentral:siRNA from 1 species